rnacentral:rRNA from 1 species
UACGUAAGGGUGCGAGCGUUGUCCGGAAUUAUUGGGCGUAAAGAGCUCGUAGGCGGUCUGUCGCGUCUGCUGUGAAAACCCGAGGCUCAACCUCGGGCCUGCAGUGGGUACGGGCAGACUAGAGUGCGGUAGGGGAGAAUGGAAUUCCUGGUGUAGCGGUGGAAUGCGCAGAUAUCAGGAGGAACACCGAUGGCGAAGGCAGUUCUCUGGGCCGUAACUGACGCUGAGGAGCGAAAGCGUGGGGAGCGAACAGG